CCUACGGGAGGCAGCAGUGAGGAAUAUUGGUCAAUGGCCGGAAGGCUGAACCAGCCAAGCCGCGUGAAGGACGAAGGUGCCAAGCAUUGUAAACUUCUUUUGUCAAGGGACAAAAUCAGGCUCGAGAGCCUGACCGAGGGUACUUGAAGAACAAGCAUCGGCUAACUCCGUGCCAGCAGCCGCGGUAAUACGGAGGUUGCGAGCGUUAUCCGGCUUUAUUGGGUUAAAAGGGUGCGUAGGCGGGCUGUUAAGUCAGCGGUAAAAGCCCGGGGCUCAACCCCGGCGAGCCGUUGAGACUGGCGGUCUUGAGAUGUCGAGAGGUAUGCGGAAUGCGCAGUGUAGCGGUGAAAUGCUUAGAUAGUGCGCAGAACUCCGAUUGCGAAGGCAGCAUACCGGCGGCGAUCUGACGCUGAGGCACGAAAGCGUGGGUAUCGAACAGGAUUAGAUACCCCUGUAGUC
rnacentral:rRNA from 1 species